AUUAGACCACAUAACGAAUCUCACCUACCUACACCUUAGCACUAUCCUAAAUAGCAACCAAUUUAAAAAUUGUGUAUAUAAUUUAAAAAACCUACCCGAAAAAAUUUCGUUUAAAAAACGAUACAAAAAUCAUAGAAAACCAACAAUAAUUAAAAAAUUUGUCGACUAGCUUCCAAGCUCAAAAAUAACUUUUUUCGUCGGAUAGUUAUUUUUAAACUUUAUUUACAACAAAACUGCAUCAUAAAGUACAAGUAGUGGUAUACAUUAUACUGUUCCGCGUUUAAGUGUAGUGAAUAUAGUUUAAGUUUUUAAUCCAUGGGCAAAAUACACGAAGUUGUUUUAAAUCUCAAGAGAAACACCCCUACAGAACAUUGGGGUUUCAGUUUGGUUGGAGGAUCUGAUGUUAAAACACCACUGAUCGUUACGAAAGUGGGAUUCGGAUCUCCUGUGGAGGGUGUCCUUCACAGAGGUGAUAUUAUUACCAAAGUAGGCAACUAUGAUUCAAGAGAUAUUCGUCAUCAAGAUGCGCAAAAUUUAUUCAGAAAUGCUGGAAAUAAUAUUCAAGUUGUAGUACAGAGGGAAAACGCUCCUCACAGUACCGGAUCAUCAAGGACGAGCUCGCACAAUUACAGCCCACUGUCAGUUUCCCCCCAUCUCUCUCCAAAAGGUUAUACUGUAUCAUCGGGAUACAGUCCAGCUGGAUCAGCCCUAACGCCAUACUACUCCACUCCCCUUACCCCUAUUGACAAUAAUUAUUUUGAAGUUUACGAACACGACCCAAAACGCAGACACGAAGAAGACAAUAAGGAUGUUCACGUUACACAACAGCCGUAUCGUACUACCCCCCUGGUACUUCCCGGUGCUAAAGUGAAACGUGAUCAAGGACCCACUGAAAGUUACCUUCGCCAUCAUCCUAACCCUUCGGUGAGAGCUCCUCCUCUAAAUAUGCUUGGACAUACAAAUUUCAGUUCUCCUCGUAAUCUGUACCGUGAAUCAAAUAUCGAUACUAUGCAGAACCAAACGAGAAAUAAAUCGCAAACACGUAGACAAGUAAAGUUUAAUCCUGCCGAAAGCGAAACAUACAAGGCUCUACAAGAAGAAGAAUAUGAAUGUGAUAAUAUCCAAGAAGUGACUGUUCCACCACAAAGUAAAGUGUAUGCUCCAAACAAAACUAUUCCCAGCAAGGUAAACAAGAACUAAAUUGCUUUAGCUUACCCUGGCCAGCUUUGCAAAUAUUAAAUAGUUUGGCUUUUUGCAGACCUAUAUAAUGAAAAAUGGCCUAUGUGGUAAACCAAAAUCCUCAAUCUCAAUAUGGCAACGCACUCGGUACUGACCCAGAAGUGAUUCAACAAAGCGGAUCUUUCAAAAGAUUGAUGUGGAGUGUCCUUCCUGGCUCCCAAUUUUAAAUGAACAAACUUACAAUUAUUUUAGUAAUAAACAGUUUUUCGGUGAAAUACUACGUCGAGAAUAUUUAAUACGAAUAUGGAACAGUGUCACAAAUGUUCAUUUAAUAUCAGUCAAAUUAAUCAAUUUUUAAAUUAGCGAGCACGUAAAGCCAUCUUUGUUAGGUAGCUACUAGCUAUUUAGAAAUCGUUUCUUUUGUAGAUUAAUUUUAUAAAAGGGUUUUUGUCAAAGCGAUACCUAUAUGAUCAAUUUUACCAUUUAAGUUGACUUGCAUAGUUUAAGCUAGCGUAUUAAUUCCUAUUUGAAUAUUUCAUUAAAAUUGUUUAAAAAAAGUAUAAACAGAAUUAUAAUUAAACACUAAGUUUAUUAGCUAGGUUUAUUAGUAAACUACAUCUGUCAUAACAGUUAACAUUUCAUUGGAUUUUAAUUGGAUUAGAGUUGCAGUAACAGUUUGUUGCGUAUGAUUUUGGGUUUACGUCAUAAAAGUAUUUCUAUCCAUCAAAUGUCUCCAUCGGUUAAGGAGAACACGAUGAAAAACCUAUGUGGUAUCUAGAUACUAUUUCACCAUGCCCCCAUCACUCCCUCAUCUGCUCUCUAUCGUAAGUGCUCUUCUGCAACAUUGUGCUCCAUUUUAACAUACAACAUUCUCAAUGCGUUCUUCCACUACCUUUCGAAUCUCUUUUUUUAUCGCCGUAGCAAUCAAAACAUUCACAAAGUUCCAAUCUUUCUCGCUAAACAGCGUCAGUUCAACUAGCACAUGCACUCAGCGAUCCUCUUACCCAAGGCCUUAUACUGCCGUCUUUCUUUCAUGAAUCUCAUGUAUAGGAAAACUAAGUACGUUCCAUAGUAUCACCAUAUUAUGCCCUUUAGCAAUUUUCAAACGUGCCACGUUCCUUCAUGCCAAAGCGAAUCAGGUGAUAAAAAGAAAAUCUCCCGUGAAUACCUGAGUUGAUAGUAGUUAUCUCCUUGCAUUCACAGUCGACUCACAUUAGAUUAGUAACAUGUUAGUCUAGCCUGUCGUUUGUACACAAUAUAAUAAAAUGUGAUUGAUCAUAUAUUAACAAAAAGGCCUUUUGGAAUAAAGACACUUACUUUUUUAAUAUCAAUUUAUUUGUUAUAGUAAAUAAACCUUGAUUUAUUGUUGCCUUGUUUAUGUAUUAAUUUAUUUUUUAAAUUAUUAUAGCGAGUGUAAUUUAGUCAUGAUUUAAAAUGUCUGUAUAAGUGCGUUAGAAAUAUGCAGAGUAAUAAAAUAUGCAUUUGCGAUUUAAAUGCUUCCUGUAUUAAGUUAAAUGGAAAUUUUAAAAGGAAUGUUUUCUUGUUUAUAAUAUAUAGCCAAAAUCUACUUAAAAUAUAUUUAUUUUUCUCA
rnacentral:misc_RNA from 1 species